CCGAUUCAAAGCCCAUUGGUGACAUAUUUUAAUUCAUCAAAAAUUCAUCUUUUAACUCCAUUUAUACCAUCCCUAACCAUCUUUAAUUCAUUCCAUCAACCCAACCAACAUGAGCAUCAUGUAAACAAGGAACAACACCUUAAUCCAUCACACCAUAACAUCCAGUCAUAUGGCAACAUGGAAGAUCACAGAUAACAUGGAUGAUGAGUAGAAAAUGGUGAUGAUGAGCUUUUCCUUCUUCUCCUCCAAUCCCUUCUUCCUUCU
rnacentral:lncRNA from 1 species